rnacentral:rRNA from 1 species
ACUCCUCUCGGGGAGUGUUAUAGCCCGUUGCAUAAUACCCUUCCGGGGAUCGAGGUUCGCGCUCUGCAAGGACGCUGGCAUAAUGGUCAUCAGUGACCCGUCUUGAAACACGGACCAAGGAGUCGAACAUUUGUGCGAGUGUUUGGGUGUCAAACCCUCACGCGUAAUGAAAGUGAACGGAGGUGGGAGCCCUCAAGGGUGCACCAUCGACCGAUCCUGAUGUCUUCGGAUGGAUUUGAGUAAGAGCAUAGCUGUUGGGACCCGAAAGAUGGUGAACUAUGCGUGAAUAGGGUGAAGCCAGAGGAAACUCUGGUGGAGGCUCGCAGCGGUUCUGACGUGCAAAUCGAUCGUCAAAUCUGCGUAUGGGGGCGAAAGACUAAUCGAACCAU